UACAUGCACUCUUCAAUAUAUAAUAAGAACAAUCAAAUAGUUUUACUUAAGACAAGGAAAAUGUAUUAGAAAGGGAGUUUAACUCAUAGAUAUACAUGUGUUUUAGAAUGGAAAUAUUGCUGUGAGUUUGUGACUGUAAAAUGAAUAUAAAUUUAAGUAUUUUUCUUUGUUGUGCCAAAAAAUUGAUUGUAUCAUUUUUCCUUUUUAGCAGGUGAAAGUUUGUGAUUCAAAGGUAGUGAUGCUGCCUAUCAUUCACAAUUGGAGAUGAUUUCUUGAUGUCUAAUGCAAAACGCAUUGAGAGUGCAGUGCAAGAAUAUGCGUGUAAUGCUCUUUUUCUUAAGAGUAAAAUCCAAAAACAACCAAUUAGGCAGAAUCCAGAAGCUACUCUUUGCUGUGAUGUACACCAUAAAGCUAUAGGAAGAAGUGAAAAACUCAAUGCUCAGAAAAGCAAUGAACAAACCAUUGCGGCUGCAAAUGCUUUUCUCCAUUCAAACUUCAAUUUCGUGGGAAUGGAAAGAGCAAGGGAAAGCUCUAGUGCUUAAGAAGAAAGUGUUCAAGUAUUGAUCUUCAGAUUGCCAGGGAAUUGUGUUGUGUUUUUUCUGAAGCAAGAGAAAUGAUUGUUGAAGGGGGUAAAAGAUGGGGUCAUGCAUAUGAAAUCACGUGAUGCUGUAGUGCUUAAGAAGAAAGUGUUCAAGUAUUGAUCUUCAGAUUGCCAGGGAAUUGUGUUGUGUUUUUUCUGAAGCAAGAGAAAUGAUUGUUGAAGGGGGUAAAAGAUGGGGUCAUGCAUAUGAAAUCACGUGAUGCUGUUUUAGAGUCUCAAACAAUGGCCAAUAAUAGAUCAUAGCCUCCUACAUGAUGCUAUCAACUUAUCAAGUAUCAAUCAAAACACGGAACUUUUCAUCCAGAAGCUUCAAUUCUUGUUAUUCGCAUUAUUACUCUGCAGCUACGCCAUCUUAUAACGAUGAGACACUUUUCUGUGGAGAUUUUCUUAUGUUCCGUUUUUGAAGUUUCUUCGACCCUGUCACCAAAUUGAAAAUUUUGUUAUGUGAAAGUUCUCUGUUGUUGAAAUUCAAUCAUUCAUCUUAUUAUUUUCUUUCUUAUACAAUAUGUGAAACACUUGGAUUUUAAUUUUAUAUAUUGCUUGAAGAGGCUACUGAAACUUUUUUAAUUUCAUCAUUGUAACGCGGGUUUAAUCUAUUUCCUCUCAUAUUGUAUGCAUGUUUGUUUAUUCUGUUUGGUUAAUUGUUUCUGGAACCCUAGAAUUGCACACUCUUAGUUUAUCAGUGUUCUAGCAAUACAGUGGAAAGGAAUUGAACUUCUAGAUUAUGACUUCUCUCACUCACUUAUUGCAGCAGAUACAUUUUUCUAUGCAGAAACUAUAGUAUGCAGAAAUAAUUUUAAUUAGAAGCUACUCUAUUUAGUUUUUCCAGAAAAGGUUAAUUGAUUUUUUUCUUUAAUCUAUACAAUUAUGUCAAAAAUGAUUUUUUCAGUGUGUAUAUAUUACUGAAUUUUUGUCAGAAAAAGCUAAAACAAACGCAUCCUAUAUACAUCUUUCAUAAUCCAGCUAACUUUCUUUAUUAGUCAAAUGAAGAUCCUUAUCUAGCUUGUGCAGCACCUGAGGUUUGUCAUGGUGGUGCCCUUUCUCACGAUUCCAUCUACUAUUGUUUGUGCUGCCUCAUAUUGUAAUUGUUGCACUUAAAAUUACUGUUAAGUUUCUAUAAAUUUUAGCUACGGAUACCUUGAACAUGUAUAAAACUCUUUGAUUUGUAUUGUUUCAUUGGGAAAUCUGUUGACUAGGAAUUUUAACUUACUUGAUCAUAUAUGCUUUAGCUGUUGUUAAGCAAUAUUUUUGGAAUAUCGUCUCUUGUGAACUCUUAUAUGGGGUGUAAGUUUCAACUGUGAAUUGAUGCUAAUUUUAAGUUCAUAUUUAUUUUAGAAUGGUUAUUUUAGGUAUAUGGGAACUGAAUCAGUCCUUUUUUCCCUUUGUUUCCAGUUAAGCUAACUUGGAAUAACUUGUUUAUCAAUCAGUCAUUUUUUCCCUUUGUUUCCAUUUUCUUAUGAACACCCAAAUAUUUAACAUGAUAUGAUUUUCCUUGUUAUAGACCAUAGACCACUGUUACUCCUUUUUAAAUAUUUAUAAAUCUUCCUAAUUAUUGUGUCCUGUCAUAUGGAUUUGGAUUUUAUCCUUGGGCGCUCAAACACCACAAAGUGCAAUGUGACAGAAAGAGAUAGUACGCUGAGCGAGUCUCUCAUCACCUCCAUAUGGCCUAAGACUACAAAUUCUCUCAAAGCCUCACUCCAGUUCCACUCCUUUUUUCUCUUUCCCCUUUCCUUCCAAUCCUUGCUAAUUCCUCCUUUAGACAAUCUCAAACUGACCCCUUAUCCUCACAGUUCAAAAGAGAGAGAGAAGAAAUGCCUAGACUCAGCGCUCCUUCAGAUUAUUCUAAAGAGCCUCCUCGUCACCCUUGUCUAUAAAUAUUUCAUUUAAGUUUUGGAGAUUAUCAUGCUUUCAUUUUUUCCUUUUGACAGGAACCUUUCAAUGUAGAGCCACCAAGUUCUGGAUUGACAUGCUCGUACGUUACUCCUUCAAAUUUCUUUUACAAGAGGAACCAUGGCCCAAUUCCCAUAGUUGAAGAUAUUGAAAAACACCAAGCUCUGCACGUCUGUGGUUUUUUUUUGUGUUUUUCGCUCGUUUCGUACGUGUCUGUGUAUCUGUGUGUUUCUUUUGUUGUUUUUCACUGGUUUCACAGAGUGUGUUUUUCGCUUGUUUCGCAUGUGAUUGCGUGUGUUUUUUUUGUUUAUCGCUCAUUUCGCAUGUGUGUCCCUAUUAUUCGCUCGUUUCGUACGUAUUUGUAUUUUUUGUUCGUUUCGCAAGAGUGUAUUUUUUUGUGUUUUCCACUCGUUUCGCACGCGCGUGUUUUUCUGUGUUUUUCGCUCUUUUCGCACAUGUACGUGUUCUUUGCUUGUUUCGCACGUGUUUUUUUUGUUUUUUCGUUCGCUUUGGGCGUGAGUGUUUUUCGCUCGUUUUGCACGCAUGUUUUUUAUUUUUUUUUUGUUUUUCGCUUAUUUCGCACGUGUGUAUGGUUUUUUUGUAUUUUUUGUUCGUUUUGCAUGCAUGUAUUUUUUAUAUUUUAUUUGUGUUUUUCGCUUGUUUCGCACUUGUUCGUGUUUUUCGUUCGUUUUGCACGUGUGCGCUUUUUCCAUCUUUCGCUAAUUUCGCCCGUGCGCGUAUUUUUUGCUCGUUUCACACUUGUGUGUUUGUUUUUUUAAUUUAUUUUUGUUUUUCGCUCGUUUCUCUCGUGUUUUUUUGCGUUUUUCGCUCAUUUUGCAGGGGUGUUUGUUUUUCGCUCGUUUGGUAGUUGUGUUUGUUUUUUGCUCGUUUUGCAUGUAUGCGUGUAUUUAGCUCAUUUUUGCUCGUUUUGCGCAUGCGUUUUUUCAUUUUGUGUUUUUCGCUUGUUUUGCACGUGUGCAUGUUUUUUACUCGUUUUCGCUCGUUUGGCACGGGGUGUGGUUCUUUUCUGUUUUUUGCUCGUUUUGCACAUAUGUAUUUUUCGCUCGUUUCACACGUGUUUUUUUGUGAUUUUUGCUCUUUAAGCAUGUGUGCAUGUUUUUCGUUCGUUUCGCACGUGUGUUUUUCACUUAUUUUGUACGUGUGCGUUUUUUUUGUUUUUCGCUCAUUUCGCCU